UACGUAGGGUGCGAGCGUUAAUCGGAAUUACUGGGCGUAAAGUGUGCGCAGGCGGCAGAGCAAGUCGAGUGUGAAAGCCCCGGGCUUAACUUGGGAAUUGCGCUCGAAACUACUUUGCUGGAGUGUGGCAGAGGAAGGUGGAAUUCCACGUGUAGCGGUGGAAAUGACGUGAGAGAAGUGUGGAGGACACCGAAAUGGCCGCAAAGGU
rnacentral:rRNA from 1 species